UCAGUCCCGCUCUUCUGCUUUCUGGGCGCGGACCCUACCUCGAGAUUGCAGCGUCUUGUAGCGGAAAUCAAAAUCAUCCUGCAUGUUCUCAAUAAAGUUGUGUUCCCGGGAUAGCGCCGCCUCCAGCUGGGACAACAAGCUGAAAAACAGCACCGCCGCCGCGGAGUCCUCGUCAGCGGCCGUGUCCCUAAAGACCGACACAACAUUCUGAGGAUGAGAUUCACUGAUGAGAGAUCACCCGUUUCAACUCA